AAAAGAGCAAAAUAUUGGAAGAUUGGUUACAAAUAUAAUCAAUCCAUCAUCAUGAAUGUACCCUCUCAAGGAUUGAUGUUUCUAGGGGGAAGGAACUAAAGAUACCUACAGACGGGAAAGUUCAAAGAAUUAAAUACCGAAUCACGAAAAAGAAUUUCAACUAGCAAAGCUCGAUUCUAGAAUGCAACAAAGAUACGAAAUUUACAGUCGAAACGAACCCGAGAGAAAUGCGCUGCUAUCAUUCUCAGAAUGGAAGAAGAGCAAUGGAAAGUAUGGCAAGGUUCAAGAACAAGAAGCCUGCUCCAGCUCCAAGCUUAGGUUGUCCAUUGGGUUUAGAAGUUGGAGAUGCUGCUGUAGGGCCACUGUCGACAGCAGGUGCUGGGGCUUUGGCCGAAACCGGAGGCAAUGGUGGCUCAGCUACGUCUUUGUCAUUCAAAACCGGGCUCGGAGCUGUCUUCGGAGGCAGGUAGUCUGGAGUAACAAGUUGCAACAAGCUACCAGGCUGGACAGGGCUCAUGUAAUUAGGU
rnacentral:misc_RNA from 1 species